GUUUCAGAGUGGUUAUUGCGUAAGACUAGAAAUCUUAUGCCCUUUGGGCGCGGCGGUUCAAGUCCGUCUC
rnacentral:tRNA from 1 species